UGUCCAUUCCAACCAGUUAGCUGUACCUAGAGCGCUGUCUGAUAAAGAUCCUGAGGCAGAGGUCCCGCUCCGUGGAGAAACGUGCCACGAUCGAUUAGCAAUGUCUGCCACACACCCGGGAAGAGGGCGUAGCUGCACGCCUGCCACGCAUGCGCUGUCUUUCCCGGCGAGCCUUUGGCAUUGCUGGUCCUACAGUCCAGGCCCGAUGGUAGGCUCUGACGUCAUCGGUACUCUCUUGUGGGCCCAGGCUCCCAGAUGCCUGGGGCGGGGAGAAAUACCAGUUCCCUGCCCUCGGCCCUACCUGCAGGUCUCCUCGAGCCCUGGGUUUAUCUCUGCUUGCUGAAGAGGCUCUUGAAGGCGUUGUUGUAGUUCUUGUUAAAUGCUGUGUAAAUCAGGGGGUUAAAGAAAGAAUUGGAGUAGCCAAGCCACAAGAAUAUGCUUUUCCAGAUGGGGGGCAGGCUGCAGGCACAGAGGGGACUGAUGAGCUCCGCCAGGAAGAAGGGGAUCCAGCACAGCACAAACACGCCGAUGAGAAUGCCCACCAUCACGGCUGCCCGCUUCUCCUUCUGCUCCCGCCACGAGUCCCCGCUCGUCUGAAAGGCCACCACUGGGCGACGCGCCGCGAACACCACCAUCUCAGCCUCCUGGGGGGCCUCCUUCACCUUGGAACAAGGGAAACGUGCGAUUAACACAUAAAACCUGACGUGGGAUGAUAAAGCAGCAUGGGGUUGCUCCAGUGUGGCCAACACCUCUCCUGCAGCCUCUCAAGAUGCGCUUAUACCAGAAUCCAUCCAAAAUGUUGGGUGAAAAUGUUCCUGAAACUAAUUUGUGCGGCUAUGGCAGUUACACCUGUCCGCCCGCCCUGGGCCAAGCUGAACCGGCGCUGGGACUGUCUCCCUUGGACACACAGAUGCCCGGCAGCAGCACCUGGUGCCUGGCCGGUGCUCAGGAAACGGCCGCUCAGUGAACCAGUGAUCACGACGGCAGAAAGGUCUACACCUGCGUCUCCCUUCUCCUUUAGAAGAGACCGCGCUGACCCAUCCCCGCAUAGGGGACCAUCCUCAAGUCACCAGACAAGUCUGAGCCACAGAGACGUGCCAUCCUGAAACCAUCUCAUGAAUACUGAGCCGUGUCUUGGGGAGGGAACCAUCUUAUCAGAGCAGGAGCAGAAGUGGAAGGUGGCGUGGCCGUUUUCCUCCCUCCGGGCUCAGGACUGGGCCCUUUUCCAGCCACUUCUCUGCUGACCUCCCAGGCACUUGAGUCCCUCCCCCGGGGAACGGAAAUUCCAAAUCCUUGAUAUGCUAUCGAGGCAAAGAAAUGGGGUGAAUUCAGUUCAAAGGGGCUCCUGGGGGAAAGAAACAGAAAAGGCAAGUUCACUGAGUAAGUUGGUUUAAAGGACCUGGCCUCCAGCCCUGUGGCGGUUAGCAGCAUCCAGCUCUGCUCCGCCGCGGCAUCUGUUUGCUAGAAGCCCGUGUUCCCAACUUUCCACCUGAGCCUGCUACACCCCUCGCAGAGAGAGAUGCGGGAAGACCGUGGAAUCUUUCCAGAAACGGCUUCAAAGAAACGGAGUGGCAGAGAGAGGCAAUACAGCCUGGGAUGAUGAUUCCGGUUUGCAAGGAGACUGACUAGCUUGGUUUUUGUCGUUUGAAAUAUAAUAUCCAAUAGAAAGCCAAAAGAGGCUAAGAACAGCUCCAGAGAAGUUAACCAUAAAACAGAUACUAUGCUUAAGUCUUGUAAAACAGACAUAAACAGACACUAUGCUUAAGUCUUGUAAGGGACGAUUUGAAUUCAUUCUUACAUCAAAAUUUGGGGUAUUAUUAUCUCCAUUUCAGAGUUGAGAAAACACUCCAAGAUGUUAAAUACCUUGUCCAAGAUCACCCAGUUGCUUAUGGUAAGAGCUGGAAGUCAAACGGGAGUAUUUUGAACCAGAGACCACACUCUUAAUCCCUACCUGUUUUGCACCUUUAGUAAAGGUGAUUGAU